GGAGAGAUGGCUGAGUGGACGAAAGCGAUAGACUGUAAAUCUAUUUAUUUAAGAAAGAUCCCGUAGGUUCGAAUCCUACUCUCUUCA
rnacentral:tRNA from 1 species